CGCCCCGUUUGCCCAUUUUCCAAAAAAUCAGAGCAUAACCCGUUCUAACCCGAUUCCCUGCUCUGUUAUGUUAUGUCUGCCCUCCUCUGAUGCUUGGGAAAUCGUUUGUUCUGUGGGCUUCUCCUGAGGAGAUGGACGAUUUUCAGAGCUUGCAGAAAGAAUUUGAGACCACCUUCAACCAGAGAAGCCUCUGUGGAAAUGUGCCGUCACUGGCCAGUUGUUCUGUCUGUCUGCUGUGGAACCCAGGCCCGUGAGAAGAGCAGGGGAGGUAUAGUCAUUUCCCUUGUUUUACGGCAGAGGAAACUGAAGAUAAAGCUAUGAAGUGAAGCUGGCUAGUGGCUGCCUCAGGGUUACUACUGAUAUCACUGGACCCCUUCAGAACCAAGCAUGAAUGAAGCAAUCCUUUUUCCCACCUGCAAGUGAGGCUCUGAGGGAUUCUUCAGAAAUCAAGACUUUGACCCACUCCAUAUUAUGAAUGCCUCAGCCUACAAAGAGCUUGCCUAACCCAACAUCAAGGGGUGGACACGUGAUGCUGGACUUCCAGAGCAAAAAUGGGUGUUUGAAGAACUUACUCCCAUGAUGCGGCAGUCAAGGAGAUGCACAGUAGAGGAUCAAAAAGCUGACAACUUGGCCUCCCCUGGGUCGCUUCCAGGGGAGCGCGGCUUCACCGCUCGAACCAGCUGGCCAAGUUCCGUAUGCUCUUGGGCCGGUCCCCAGCCCUCUGUACAGCCUGGCACACCCGGCACCAAGGCUCGUCCCAGAAGGAGGUGAUGUGGACAGCGUAGCUCCGGCGCCAGUGGAAGUAGCGGCGAUAGACCGCGGGGUUGCGGUCGAGGAAAAGCAGGUACGAGGCCAGGGAGGAGGCACUUGGGAAGUCGUCCACGUGGAUGAAGGCGCCGCGGGGCACAAAGCGCUCGUAGUUGGCACGGUCUGGGCCCAGCACCACCGGCACCGCCCCAGCGAGCAACGCGUUGCGCCAGAGCUUCUCGGUGAUAUAAUCCAGGUGCUGCGAGUUCUCGAAAGCCAGGUAGAACUUGUAGCGGGCCACUGUGUGCAGGAGCCCAAUUUCGGGCACCGGCUCCCCCGGCCUCGGCGCCACCCGCGCCGCCCGCCCG
rnacentral:lncRNA from 1 species